GCUUACCCCUCCAAGGGAAUUUGAUGGUUUCGGUGUCCCAAUCCGCCGUGCACCCGUUGGGGUGUGGGGUGGACGUGAGGCGGGCUCCGUGAUCCACGCGUGCCUCGCGGUUCGCCGUGUGGCCGUUGUGGCUCAUGGGGUCUUCGCCCGUUCUCUCGGAUGCGGAAUGUUGUGCGUGGGCGUGGGGCCUCGGCCUCGUCUCGUCCAAGCUAAGCAUUCGUCCCUCGACGCGAACGACUGCCGCGCUCGUCUUGACCCCCCCGGGCGGCUCAUGCGGGCGUCGGCGUCGCGAA
rnacentral:misc_RNA from 1 species